AGUGAAUCUAGGCCUUUAAUUGGAGCAGGAGUGAUUGGAUUAUAAUUAGUUAAAGAUUAUAAUUAGUCUCUGCAACGAAAUGGGAUAACAGUUGGUGACGGAAUGCAUAGGCUCUUUCAUCACUCUUCUCCCUUGAAGAAGACCGGGCGGUUAUUGAAUGGGCACAGGCGAAAGCCACCCUUACCACAGAUGAACACUUUGCGCACCAUGGAGUGGAUUGUUGGUAAUCUGUCCGAGUCUCACCCAAACCUGAGCAAAGUCGCUACAGUGGGACUGCUUCUACCAACCUCCACAGCUGAUUGUGAGAGAGGUUUCAGCAGUUGAAUGUGUAAAGACCACCCACCAUUCACCGGUGAGCAUGAAAGUGCUUAAUGCCUUACUCAUGGUGUCCAUGCAGGGACAAAAAUUGAAUGACUUUAAUUUCAGUGGUGCAGUAAAGGAAUGGCACAGAGCCAAAGACAGACACUUACCGGUAUAUGAAAACAAAAAUGCCUAUGUGUUGUUAGUGUUAGUACAAAAGAAGUGGAAGGACAUAUGUGUUGUUUGAAAAUACAUAUAAAAGAAGUGGACAUCUGUUUAGUGUAUAUGAUAUAUUGAUGGUUAUAUGAUUAUGUAAAAAUGUAGAAGUAAUGAAAUA